rnacentral:rRNA from 1 species
CCUACGGGUGGCAGCAGUGGGGAAUAUUGGACAAUGGGGGGAACCCUGAUCCAGCCAUGCCGCGUGUGUGAAGAAGGCCCUCGGGUUGUAAAGCACUUUCAGUGAGGAAGAACGCCUGGUGGUUAAUACCCAUCAGGAAAGACAUCACUCACAGAAGAAGCACCGGCUAACUCCGUGCCAGCAGCCGCGGUAAUACGGAGGGUGCGAGCGUUAAUCGGAAUUACUGGGCGUAAAGCGCGCGUAGGUGGCUUGAUAAGCCGGUUGUGAAAGCCCCGGGCUCAACCUGGGAACGGCAUCCGGAACUGUCAAGCUAGAGUGCAGGAGAGGAAGGUAGAAUUCCCGGUGUAGCGGUGAAAUGCGUAGAGAUCGGGAGGAAUACCAGUGGCGAAGGCGGCCUUCUGGACUGACACUGACACUGAGGUGCGAAAGCGUGGGUAGCAAACAGGAUUAGAUACCCCAGUAGGC